AUGAACGCUAGCUACAGGCUUAACACAUGCAAGUCGAGGGGCAGCAUGGUCUUAGCUUGCUAAGGCCGAUGGCGACCGGCGCACGGGUGAGUAACACGUAUCCAACCUGCCGUCUACUCUUGGACAGCCUUCUGAAAGGAAGAUUAAUACAAGAUGGCAUCAUGAGUCCGCAUGUUCACAUGAUUAAAGGUAUUCCGGUAGACGAUGGGGAUGCGUUCCAUUAGAUAGUAGGCGGGGUAACGGCCCACCUAGUCUUCGAUGGAUAGGGGUUCUGAGAGGAAGGUCCCCCACAUUGGAACUGAGACACGGUCCAAACUCCUACGGGAGGCAGCAGUGAGGAAUAUUGGUCAAUGGGCGAGAGCCUGAACCAGCCAAGUAGCGUGAAGGAUGACUGCCCUAUGGGUUGUAAACUUCUUUUAUAAAGGAAUAAAGUCGGGUAUGGAUACCCGUUUGCAUGUACUUUAUGAAUAAGGAUCGGCUAACUCCGUGCCAGCAGCCGCGGUAAUACGGAGGAUCCGAGCGUUAUCCGGAUUUAUUGGGUUUAAAGGGAGCGUAGAUGGAUGUUUAAGUCAGUUGUGAAAGUUUGCGGCUCAACCGUAAAAUUGCAGUUGAUACUGGAUAUCUUGAGUGCAGUUGAGGCAGGCGGAAUUCGUGGUGUAGCGGUGAAAUGCUUAGAUAUCACGAAGAACUCCGAUUGCGAAGGCAGCCUGCUAAGCUGCAACUGACAUUGAGGCUCGAAAGUGUGGGUAUCAAACAGGAUUAGAUACCCUGGUAGUCCACACGGUAAACGAUGAAUACUCACUGUUUGCGAUAUACUGCAAGCGGCCAAGCGAAAGCGUUAAGUAUUCCACCUGGGGAGUACGCCGGCAACGGUGAAACUCAAAGGAAUUGACGGGGGCCCGCACAAGCGGAGGAACAUGUGGUUUAAUUCGAUGAUACGCGAGGAACCUUACCCGGGCUUAAAUUGCAGAUGAAUUACGGUGAAAGCCGUAAGCCGCAAGGCAUCUGUGAAGGUGCUGCAUGGUUGUCGUCAGCUCGUGCCGUGAGGUGUCGGGUUAAGUCCCAUAACGAGCGCAACCCCUACCGUUAGUUGCCAUCAGGUGAAGCUGGGCACUCUGGCGGGACUGCCGGUGUAAGCCGAGAGGAAGGUGGGGAUGACGUCAAAUCAGCACGGCCCUUACGUCCGGGGCUACACACGUGUUACAAUGGGGGGUACAGAGGGCCGCUACCACGCGAGUGGAUGCCAAUCCCAAAAACCUCUCUCAGUUCGGACUGGAGUCUGCAACCCGACUCCACGAAGCUGGAUUCGCUAGUAAUCGCGCAUCAGCCACGGCGCGGUGAAUACGUUCCCGGGCCUUGUACACACCGCCCGUCAAGCCAUGGGAGCCGGGGGUACCUGAAGUGCGUAACCGCGAGGAGCGCCCUAGGGUAAAACUGGUGACUGGGGCU
rnacentral:rRNA from 1 species